AUGCCGUUGUGGUGUGAGACAAGGCGACCCCCUGUCCCCCCGAUCUUCGUCUUGGCCGCUGACCUGCUACAUGCGGCUAUCAAUGACGCACACCGGAGUGGUUUGAUUAACUUGUCGAUACCGGCACGUGGUUCAGCAGACUACCCAGUGGUACAGUACGCAGACGACACGAUCUUCCUGAUGCCUGCCUGCCCGGACCAAGCAAGAACCAUGAAGCAAAUUUUGGUGGACUAUGCUGAUUCCGUCGGCCUCAAGAUCAACUUUCAAAAGUCGGUCAUAGUGCCGCUAAAUGUUGAUGGCGAUGUGAUGGCUCAACUAGCACAAAUUUGGCAAUGCUCGAUUGGAUCCAUGCCGUUCACAUACCUUGGCCUACCCAGGGGCACCACCCGUCCUACGAUGAUGGACCUGAUGCCAAUUUUUUUUUAG
rnacentral:rRNA from 1 species